rnacentral:rRNA from 1 species
AUACGGAGGAUGCGAGCGUUAUCCGGAUUUAUUGGGUUUAAAGGGAGCGUAGGUGGGAUAUUAAGUCAGCUGUGAAAGUUUGGGGCUCAACCUUAAAAUUGCAGUUGAUACUGGUUUCCUUGAGUACGGUAUAGGUGGGCGGAAUUCGUGGUGUAGCGGUGAAAUACUUAGAUAUCACGAAGAACUCCGAUCGCGAAGGCAGCUCACCGGUCUGGAACUGACACUGAUGCUCGAAAGUGCGGGUAUCAAACAGGAUUAGAUACCCUGGUAGUCCGCACAGUAAACGAUGAAUACUCGCUGUUUGCGAUACACUGUAAGCGGCCAAGCGAAAGCGUUAAGUAUUCCACCUGGGGAGUACGCCGGCAACGGUGAAACUCAAAUGAAUUGACGGGG